rnacentral:rRNA from 1 species
AACGAACGCUGGCGGCAUGCCUAACACAUGCAAGUCGAACGAGACCUUCGGGUCUAGUGGCGCACGGGUGCGUAACGCGUGGGAAUCUGCCCUUGGGUUCGGAAUAACAGUUAGAAAUGACUGCUAAUACCGGAUAAUGUCUUCGGACCAAAGAUUUAUCGCCCAGGGAUGAGCCCGCGUAGGAUUAGCUAGUUGGUGAGGUAAAGGCUCACCAAGGCGACGAUCCUUAGCUGGUCUGAGAGGAUGAUCAGCCACACUGGGACUGAGACACGGCCCAGACUCCUACGGGAGGCAGCAGUGGGGAAUAUUGGACAAUGGGCGAAAGCCUGAUCCAGCAAUGCCGCGUGAGUGAUGAAGGCCUUAGGGUUGUAAAGCUCUUUUUACCCGGGGAUGAUAAUGACAGUACCGGGAGAAUAAGCCCCGGCUAACUCCGUGCCAGCAGCCGCGGUAAU